GAAAGUCACCUGCAGUCGACGAUUCCUACGGGAGGCAGCAGUGGGGAAUCUUGGACAAUGGGGGCAACCCUGAUCCAGCCAUGCCGCGUGAGUGAUGAAGGCCUUAGGGUCGUAAAGCUCUUUCGCCUGUGAUGAUAAUGACAGUAGCAGGUAAAGAAACCCCGGCUAACUCCGUGCCAGCAGCCGCGGUAAUACGGAGGGGGUUAGCGUUGUUCGGAAUUACUGGGCGUAAAGCGCGCGUAGGCGGAUUAGUCAGUUAGAGGUGAAAUCCCAGGGCUCAACCCUGGAACUGCCUUUAAUACUGCUAGUCUUGAGUUCGAGAGAGGUGAGUGGAAUUCCGAGUGUAGAGGUGAAAUUCGUAGAUAUUCGGAGGAACACCAGUGGCGAAGGCGGCUCACUGGCUCGAUACUGACGCUGAGGUGCGAAAGUGUGGGGAGCAAACAGGAUUAGAUACCCUGGUAGUCCACACCGUAAACGAUGAAUGCCAGUCGUCGGCAAGCAUGCUUGUCGGUGACACACCUAACGGAUUAAGCAUUCCGCCUGGGGAGUACGGUCGCAAGAUUAAAACUCAAAUGAAUUGACGG
rnacentral:rRNA from 1 species